UUUAUUUUAUAAAGUGAAAAAGAGAGCAAGCACUUCCUCCUUAUUCUCGAUGAUUUUACUGAGCUUUGAUCCGAACUGCAGACGGCUUUCAAUUUCUACAACUGCAGCCUUGGCUUCAUAUGAUAAGACAAUUGGUUGUGCUUUUUGUUUUGGAAUUCAGGGGCAUAUUGAUGAUCCAUCUACUGGUACCUAUUGGUUCGUCUUGUCACAAUUUCGGCAUUAAAAUGAUGUUCUCUCUUGCUUCUAGGCUCAAAAGGGGCGGUUUGACGGACUUGAAGCCAAAGUAAUAAAAAUCCUGUCUUGUAGUUCACACCAUGCCGACAUUUACUUACGAUCAGUGGUAACCUGUAAAAUAAGUAGCUGCAUA